rnacentral:rRNA from 1 species
UACGGGGGGGGCAAGCGUUGUUCGGAAUUACUGGGCGUAAAGCGCGCGUAGGCGGCUUUUCAAGUCAGACGUGAAAGCCCCAGGCUUAACCUGGGAAUUGCGUUUGAUACUGUUAAGCUAGAGUGUGGAAGGGGCUACUGGAAUUCCGUGUGUAGCGGUGAAAUGCGUAGAUAUACGGAGGAACACCAGCGGCGAAGGCGGCGAUCUGGGUCGAUACUGACGCUGAGGUGCGAAAGCGUGGGGAGCAAACGGG